UACGAAGGGGGCUAGCGUUGCUCGGAAUCACUGGGCGUAAAGGGUGCGUAGGCGGGUCUUUAUGUCAGGGGUGAAAUCCUGGAGCUCAACUCCAGAACUGCCUUUGAUACUGAAGAUCUUGAGUUCGGGAGAGGUGAGUGGAACUGCGAGUGUAGAGGUGAAAUUCGUAGAUAUUCGCAAGAACACCAGUGGCGAAGGCGGCUCACUGGCCCGAUACUGACGCUGAUGCACGAAAGCGUGGGGAGCAAACAGG
rnacentral:rRNA from 1 species